rnacentral:rRNA from 1 species
GUGAACGCUGGCGGCGUGGAUUAGGCAUGCAAGUCGAGCGAUUCCCGCAAGGGAAUAGCGGCAGACGGGUGAGGAACACGUGAGUAAUCUGCCCUUAAACCAGGCAUAGCACUGUGAAAACGGUGGUAAUACCUGAUUGUAUCAAUGUGGCGCAUGUUAUGUUGAUUAAAGAUGGGGACCGCAAGGCCCAUCGUUUAGGGAUGAGCUCGCGUCUUAUCAGCUAGUUGGUAGGGUAAUGGCCUACCAAGGCUUUUGACGAGUAGCUGGUCUGAGAGGAUGGUCAGCCACACUGGGACUGAGACACUGCCCAGACUUCUACGGGAGGCUGCAGUCGAGAAUCUUUAGCAAUGGACGAAAGUCUGACUAUGCGACGCCGCGUGAGGGAUGAAGGUCUUCGGAUUGUAAACCUCUUUUGUCAGGGAAGAUGAUGACGGUACCUGAAGAAUAAGCACCGGCUAACUUCGU